rnacentral:rRNA from 1 species
GACGAACUGUGCAAACGUUAUUCGGAAUCACUGGGCUUGAAGAGUGCGUAGGCGGUUUCGUAAGUAGGGUGUGAAAGCCCUCGGCUCAACCGAGGAAGUGCGCCCGAAACUGCAGAGCUUGAGUACCGGAGAGGAUGGCGGAAUUCCCCAAGUAGAGGUGAAAUUCGUAGAUAUGGGGAGGAACACCGGUGGCGAAGGCGGCCAUCUGGACGGAUACUGACGCUGAGACGCGAAAGCGUGGGUAGCAAACAGG